CUCUCUCUGUCUAUCUCUGAGUUGCCGUAGCAUCGACCACCCAAGAAAACCGUACGUCUCCAGGUGCCUCACUCCGCAUUCAAAUGUGAAGCAUUUCUAGGGUUUCAUUUCAGCAGGGCGUCUUCGGAGUGUUGCAAUUUUCAAAAAGCCCGUCGCCGAUUGAUUCAAUCCGUAGCAGAUUUUGGCGCGAAGAAGCUCCAUUGAUCCCGAAUACACAGAUGUGUUGGAGCAAUGAAUAGGGCACCUCAUAUGAGGCAAGAUCGUCCCAAUCUGGGUCAAGAUUUCUGUGCCCAGACGCCUGUUAAAGCUAAUUUGUUGGAACAUGUCAAUGCACUUGAUAAUUUCUCGUGCCCGCAUAGUGUUCUGAGCUCAAAUUUUAUUUUCUCCUUACCAACACGAAAGCCUCUUGCCGAAGAGGCAAUGGUUUUCGGGUAUGUCGCGGUUAUAAGUGUUUUGUUUUCAUUUUUUGUUUGUUUGUUUUUUUUUUUUUGUACUGUUAUUUCAUUUUAUCUUGAGGAUUACUUAUUAUUUGGUGACAACUUGACAUCAGUUUUUGUAUUUGGUGAUUGUGGUCUUUUGCUUGGGUAAAAUAUAGCUCUUGUGUUUGUGUUAGUUACA